AGGAUGAAGGUUUAAGGAUUGUAAACUCCUUUUGUUAGAGAAGAUAAUGACGGUAUCUAACGAAUAAGCACCGGCUAACUCCGUGCCAGCAGCCGCGGUAAUACGGAGGGUGCAAGCGUUACUCGGAAUCACUGGGCGUAAAGAGCGCGUAGGCGGGAUAGUCAGUCAGGUGUGAAAUCCUAUGGCUUAACCAUAGAACUGCAUUUGAAACUACUAUUCUAGAGUGUGGGAGAGGUAGGU
rnacentral:rRNA from 1 species